UACAUUUCCAGGGUUAGUUAGUCAGAGGUCAUUCCAAGUCACAAUAUGGUUUCUCCUCUAUAAUAUGGCUUCCUUAUGUCAACCCUG